rnacentral:rRNA from 1 species
UUUAUGGAGAGUUUGAUCCUGGCUCAGGACGAACGCUGGCGGCGUGCUUAACACAUGCAAGUCGAACGGAAAGGCCUAGCUUGCUAGGUACUCGAGUGGCGAACGGGUGAGUAACACGUGGGUGAUCUGCCUCGUACUUCGGGAUAAGCCUGGGAAACUGGGUCUAAUACUGGAUAGGACCAUGCUUUAGUGUGUGUGGUGGAAAGUUUUUUCGGUACGAGAUGAGCCCGCGGCCUAUCAGCUUGUUGGUGGGGUAAUGGCCUACCAAGGCGUCGACGGGUAGCCGGCCUGAGAGGGUGGACGGCCACAUUGGGACUGAGAUACGGCCCAGACUCCUACGGGAGGCAGCAGUGGGGAAUAUUGCACAAUGGGCGCAAGCCUGAUGCAGCGACGCCGCGUGGGGAUGACGGCCUUCGGGUUGUAAACCUCUUUCGCUAGGGACGAAGCUUUUGUGACGGUACCUAGAUAAGAAGCACCGGCUAACUACGUGCCAGCAGCCGCGGUAAUACGUAGGGUGCGAGCGUUGUCCGGAAUUACUGGGCGUAAAGAGCUCGUAGGUGGUUUGUCGCGUCGUCUGUGAAAUUCCGGGGCUUAACUUCGGGCGUGCAGGCGAUACGGGCAUAACUUGAGUGCUGUAGGGGAGACUGGAAUUCCUGGUGUAGCGGUGGAAUGCGCAGAUAUCAGGAGGAACACCGAUGGCGAAGGCAGGUCUCUGGGCAGUAACUGACGCUGAGGAGCGAAAGCAUGGGGAGCGAACAGGAUUAGAUACCCUGGUAGUCCAUGCCGUAAACGGUGGGCGCUAGGUGUGAGGGUCUUCCACGACUUUCGUGCCGUAGCUAACGCAUUAAGCGCCCCGCCUGGGGAGUACGGCCGCAAGGCUAAAACUCAAAGGAAUUGACGGGGGCCCGCACAAGCGGCGGAGCAUGUGGAUUAAUUCGAUGCAACGCGAAGAACCUUACCUGGGCUUGACAUAUGCAGGAUCGGCGUAGUGAUACGUUUUCCCUUGUGGUCUGUAUACAGGUGGUGCAUGGUUGUCGUCAGCUCGUGUCGUGAGAUGUUGGGUUAAGUCCCGCAACGAGCGCAACCCUUGUCUUAUGUUGCCAGCACGUGAUGGUGGGGACUCAUGAGAGACUGCCGGGGUUAACUCGGAGGAAGGUGGGGAUGACGUCAAAUCAUCAUGCCCCUUAUGUCCAGGGCUUCACACAUGCUACAAUGGUCGGUACAACGCGCUGCGAGCCUGUGAGGGUGAGCGAAUCGCUGAAAGCCGGCCUCAGUUCGGAUUGGGGUCUGCAACUCGACCCCAUGAAGUCGGAGUCGCUAGUAAUCGCAGAUCAGCAACGCUGCGGUGAAUACGUUCCCGGGCCUUGUACACACCGCCCGUCACGUCAUGAAAGUUGGUAACACCCGAAGCCAGUGGCCUAACCCUUGUGGGGGGAGCUGUCGAAGGUGGGAUCGGCGAUUGGGACGAAGUCGUAACAAGGUAGCCGUACCGGAAGGUGCGGCUGGAUCACCUCCUUUCUAAGGAG